rnacentral:rRNA from 1 species
CGGCGCCCGCCGGAGGAUAACCAAACUCUGAUUUAUCGACCUUUCUUCUGGGUGGUACAAGCAAAUAAUCAAAACUUUUAACAACGGAUCUCUUGGGUCUGGCAUCGAUGAAAAACGCAGCGAAAUGCGAUAAGUAAUGUGAAUUGCAGAAUUCAGUGAAUCUUCCAAUCUUUGAACGCCCAUUGCGCCCGCCAGCAUUCUGGCGGGCACGCCCGUUCGAGCGUCAUUUCAACCCUCAAGCUCUGCUUGGUGUUGGGGCCCUACAGCUGAUGUAGGCCCUCAAAGGUAGUGGCGGACCCUCUCGGAGCCUCCUUUGCGUAAUAACUUUACGUCUCGCACUGGGAUCCGGAGGGACUCUUGCCGUAAAACCCCCAAUUUUCCAAAGGUUGACCUCGGAUCAGGUAGGAAUACCCGCUGAACUUAAGCAUAUCAAUAAGCGGAAGAAAAGAAACCAACAGGGAUUGCCUCAGUAACGGCGAGUGAAGCGGCAACAGCUCAAAUUUGAAAUCUGGCCCUAGGCCCGAGUUGUAAUUUGCAGAGGAUGCUUUUGGUGCGGUGCCUUCCAAGUUCCCUAGAACGGGACGCCAGAGAGGGUGAGAGCCCCGUACAGUUGGACACCAAGCCUUUGUAAAGCUCCUUCGACGAGUCNAGUAGUUUGGGAAUGCUGCUCAAAAUG